rnacentral:rRNA from 1 species
AUACGGGAGGCAGCAGUGGGGAAUUUUGGACAAUGGGGGCAACCCUGAUCCAGCAAUGCCGCGUGAGUGAAGAAGGCCUUCGGGUUGUAAAGCUCUUUUGUCAGGGAAGAAACGGGAGUGGCUAAUAUCCAUUCCUAAUGACGGUACCUGAAGAAUAAGCACCGGCUAACUACGUGCCAGCAGCCGCGGUAAUACGUAGGGUGCAAGCGUUAAUCGGAAUUACUGGGCGUAAAGCGUGCGCAGGCGGUUUCGUAAGUCUGAUGUGAAAUCCCCGGGCUUAACCUGGGAAUUGCAUUGGAGACUGCGAGGCUAGAAUCUGGCAGAGGGGGGUAGAAUUCCACGUGUAGCAGUGAAAUGCGUAGAGAUGUGGAGGAACACCGAUGGCGAAGGCAGCCCCCUGGGUCAAGAUUGACGCUCAUGCACGAAAGCGUGGGGAGCAAACAGGAUUAGAUACCCGCGUAGUCCG